AAUAGAUACCCGGGUAGUCCACGCCGUAAACGUUGGGCGCUAGGUGUGGGGCCAUUCCACGGUCUCCGUGCCGCAGCUAACGCAUUAAGCGCCCCGCCUGGGGAGUACGGCCGCAAGGCUAAAACUCAAAGGAAUUGACGGGGGCCCGCACAAGCGGCGGAGCAUGUUGCUUAAUUCGAUGCAACGCGAAGAACCCUACCUAGGCUUGACAUGCACGGAAAUCUCGCAGAGAUGCGGGGUGCCUUUGGCGUCGUGCACAGGUGGUGCAUGGUUGUCGUCAGCUCGUGUCGUGAGAUGUUGGGUUAAGUCCCGCAACGAGCGCAACCCUCGUUCCAUGUUGCCAGCACGUAGUGGUGGGGACUCAUGGGAGACUGCCGGGGUCAACUCGGAGGAAGGUGGGGAUGACGUCAAAUCAUCAUGCCCCUUAUGUCUAGGGCUGCAAACAUGCUACAAUGGCCGGUACAAAGGGCUGCGAUACCGCGAGGUGGAGCGAAUCCCAAAAAGCCGGUCUCAGUUCGGACUGGGGU
rnacentral:rRNA from 1 species